rnacentral:rRNA from 1 species
GCUGGCGGCAGGCCUAACACAUGCAAGUCGAGCGGUAACAUUUCUAGCUUGCUAGAAGAUGACGAGCGGCGGACGGGUGAGUAACGCGUAGAAAUCUACCUAGUAGUGGGGGAUAGCCCAGAGAAAUUUGGAUUAAUACCGCAUACGCCCUACGGGGGAAAGCGGGGGAUCUUCGGACCUCGUGCUAUUAGAUGAGUCUGCGUCGGAUUAGCUUGUUGGUGAGGUAAUGGCUCACCAAGGCGACGAUCCGUAGCUGGUCUGAGAGGAUGACCAGCCACACUGGAACUGAGACACGGUCCAGACUCCUACGGGAGGCAGCAGUGGGGAAUAUUGCACAAUGGGCGCAAGCCUGAUGCAGCCAUGCCGCGUGUGUGAAGAAGGCCUUAGGGUUGUAAAGCACUUUCAGCAGUGAGGAAAGGGGUGUCGUUAAUAGCGCCAUCCUGUGACGGUAACUGCAGAAGAAGGACCGGCUAACUCCGUG